GACGAACGCUGGCGGCGUGCCUAACACAUGCAAGUUGAGCGACGAACCAGGGCUUGCCCUGGGGCAAAGCAGCGAACGGGUGAGUAACACGUGGGUAACCUACCCCGAUAACCGGGACAACCCGAGGAAACUCGGGCUAAUACCGGAUGUGCUCACUGAGCUUCGGUUCAGUGCGUAAAGGAAGCUUCGGCCUCCGUAUCGGGAGGGGCCCGCGGCCCAUUAGUUUGUUGGUGAGGUAACGGCUCACCAAGACCGCGAUGGGUAGCUGGUCUGAGAGGACGAUCAGCCACACUGGGACUGAGACACGGCCCAGACUCCUACGGGAGGCAGCAGUGGGGAAUCUUGCGCAAUGCGCGAAAGCGUGACGCAGCAACGCCGCGUGGGGGAAGAAGGCCUUCGGGUUGUAAACCCCUUUCAGGAGGGACGAAGGUUCGGCGGUGAAUAGCCGUCCGGACUGACGGUACCUCCACAAGAAGCCCCGGCUAACUACGUGCCAGCCGCCGCGGUAAUAC
rnacentral:rRNA from 1 species